ensembl:snRNA U6 U6 spliceosomal RNA
UCACUAUGGCAGUGUAUAUACUAAAAUUGGAAUGAUACAAAGAAAAUUAGGAUGGUCCCUGCACAAGGAUGACACACAUAUUCGUGAAGUGUUCUAUAUUUUU